AGCAAGUGUUAAAGAGAUGGCAAGAGAGCUCGGCAUUUCUCACGAGUCUAUUGUGACCGAAUUUAAAACCAAGAAAGCAAUUAAUGCCAUCAAUUAACCAUUGUGUUCACCAGAUUUGGCUCUGUGUGAUUUUUUCUUAUUUCCCAAAAUGAAAUUGCCGGACUGGAGAAAUCGUUGGCAUAAGUAUACUACUUCUGGAUUGAAUGGAUGGCGUUUUCCCCUUUAUCUAAGUACCGAACAAUUUAUAGAAUUAUUUAUAGUAUUUUCCGCUUAAUUGGCCACGUUUUAAUUAAACUCUCUCUAAUUGCAUUACCUAAGCGGUCAUAAAAUAUUGUCUAGAAAAAUAAAGAUUUAUUUUAGUAAUCAUAUUUAAUAUAUAAUUGUUAUAAAUACAUAUGUAAAUAAAUAAUUCAGGAACUUUA